CCAUGUAUGUGACAUCAUCAGAACUGACGAUGAUUGGGACCAGAUGCCUGGGUGGAAAAACCUUUCUGGGUGUCUUCUUUGCCUUCAAAGCUUGUCCAU